rnacentral:lncRNA from 1 species
CCUACAAUAAUAGUUGGAAUUCAAAUUAUAACUAAACUGUAAAUUUAAAUGCAAAGCAACAUAAAAAACUUCAUUAUAAAACAAAUUCAACUUUUAAAUAUAAAACACAAAUUAAAAUAAAACUUUCAAUUCAAAUUCAAAUUUCUUAUUUAAAUCAAAAAUUAAAAUUUUGCUUUUAGAUUAAAAGUACGAUAUAGAUUCAAAAUUUAAAAGUUUAAUAUAAAUUUUGAAAUUAAAAUUUUACAUUACAAUACUAACUUCAAAACUUAAAUUUAAAUUCAAUAUUUUUU